CCAUGGUUGAAUUGAUGGGGGCACAAGUUUCGAAACCGCUAAUUGCUACCAAGGUGGCUUUUUUACCGAACAAGAUAUUAAGAGCCUACCAUGUUUACAGGUGAUGGAAAUUCCAACAACGAAGAGCUUAAGGUGAUGUCAAAAGAAGUUGAGUAUAGUCAGUUGGCUGAUGUAGAGACAAUAAGUAGUAGGUGCUGGGAACUAUGAAGUGGAAGUUUGACUACUCAGAAAACGUUAACACGAUGAUUAUUUAACUCGCAUGAAGAUUGU
rnacentral:lncRNA from 1 species